rnacentral:tRNA from 1 species
GGGGAAGUGGUGGAACUGGCAGACACAACAGACUUAAAAUCUGUCGAGCGAAAGCUCAUGCGGGUUCAAGUCCCGCCUUCCCUACCA